GUGUAAAUGACUUGUUCGCUUAUUUCCUGUAUACUAAAACUCUUAAUUCAUUUAAAAUUACGAUGUCGCUUAAGUAUCGAUAUUCGUAAACUUCGUUCGUAUCUAAUAGAUAAUUAACAGUUUCGCUGGUGGCCGUGACCGAUAUGCGGUAACGCCGUCGCACGAUGUUCGCGAUAUCAAUAAUAAGCGAUGAGCAUGCGUGCGGCAAAAAAGAACGUUCACGUAUGUAGCUACUUAACGGAAGUGACGAUUCCUCCACGCCAAUUUUUUGAAAAUAUACCAAGGUCACCUUGGAUUUGUCAAAAGAACCUACGAUAUAAAGAUCAGUAUCAGUAACAAGCAUAAAUACAUCUUGAUCAUAAAAAUAUGAACGAGAUAUCUGUUUAAAUGAAUUUUUCAUUCACCGUAAUCCUUUUCCCAAAAAUUUCUAACAACUAACCACAUAAUUUCAAUCUUUUUGCAAUAAUAAGCAUUAACUUCUAUUACAGAAAAGAAAAAAAGCAGAAAUUGGUUCCACGAUAUUUCUGUACAGCUAUUGCCUCAUAUUUUGUAAAAGUACGAUAUGUAGAAAAUAAAAUAGUUGCAGAAAGAAACUAACUACUGUAAAAAAGAAACCAUUUAAAUAUAAAAAAGGAAUAUUUUCAUUGGUUAGAUUUAAUAAGUUGCGUCUUUCAUACGUUCGGUAUUACUACAUCUUUAUAAGUUCAAUGCAGUAGAGCCUUGUAACCCUCUUUAGGUAUCGUUCGACCAGCAUGAAAAGAAAAAAGGAGUAAGAUGAUAAUAGUUGGUCGAUUGUAUUACGCAUAGCCGUAAGCUCUGCAGAUGCGUGAUGCGCUAAACGUGACGCGCUACGACGUUCCGCGGGUUAACAGUAUCUACGGAACACUGUUUUUGGGCAUCGUUACUGGGAAAAAUCGAUGUUCGACCUGAUAGGACACGGAAAAUAUGGAUUCAUGACGCAGUUCCUCAAAGGGCCUAGCUGCUGUUAAACAAGGUUUUCGAAAAAGUUCUGUGGCUAAGUUGCAGUGAGCCUGCGCACGAAUAAACGCGCAAUGCGACACGCGAUAGAAUAGGACAGGGAGUCUCGUAAUCUCGUUAAAAAGAGACGGAACGGGGGAUGGAGAAGCGCACAGCGGCGUUCACGAUUAACGGUAAGGAAGGGAAUUUAAUGGGUGUCACGGCAAAGAAUGUUAAUUUUAUACCUUACGUACAUCGAUGUAGCGCCUAAUUGGUGUUAAUUUCACAGAAAAUACAAUAUUGAAGACUAUUUCGUGUUCAAUUUACAAAAUAAUGUUCAUUUUCAAUCGCUUUAUAUUCGAAUAUGUAUCUGAUACAGUAGAGGAUGCUGUCUCUUUAUUGUAUUCGAAAAAAUUGAAAACUUUAUGCGAUUAUUAAAUUUUCUGGAUUGCAUUAUUAAAAAUGUUAGAAGGUUCUUGUUACGUUUUAUUUUUAAUUAAUGAUAUUGCAAGCAAUACUUAUACGUGUGAUUAAGGAAAUAAUGGUAUUAUAUUCGUAAUAUCAAUAUUGUACUAAAUAAAAAACGUUUGAAUUCAGUUUAUAUAGAAA